ensembl:lncRNA
AUGCCCUGCCCAUUGCAUCUUUCUGCUUCUGGAAGCACGAACUCCCCUGCAUGCCACGGCUUCUGCGGGUUCCUCCUCAGUCCCAGGACUGAGCUUGGUUUUAUGGGUUUGUCCUAUGGUCAAGCAUGGCACUAUUGCCAAGGAGCUGGGCCGCUGCUCUGCCACUUGGGAACGUGUGUGGUGAGGAGGAGGACAAGGGCACGUUGUAAGGAGUGUGGUCUGUCCUUUGAUGCUUGGGACCUGAGGCCUGGGAGGAGUCAAGGGAUGGAGGCUGCCUUCGUGGGCUGCCUUCUCUGGUCGCAGUGGGGGCUGUUUGUGCUUUGUAUUUUCCUUCAUUGCUGUCAAUUUUACAAGCCAUCUUUCGUGUGGUCUUUCUAGCCCUUUUCUACCCUUUCCUCUUGGAACAGAGAUCAAACUGACAUUCUGAAGUCACCAGUUCCUUUUGAAGAACAUUGGCCCGGAUAACAGAUUUGCAGUUUGUCAGAGAGAAACUGGACAUGGCAAAGGACAGUCUUGUCUAAUGACCUGCUACAACUUUGCUUUUCAAGAACUAAAGAGCACACUUGACCCUUCUUAAAAUAUGACAUGCGGUGUGUUCGGAGCCAGAUGACGUAGCAAGGCUUGGACUUGCGAGAUGGAGGAGUCCCUGAGCGUUCUGGUGACGGUCGAUGCUAAAUGGAUGCUUCAUUUGAGUGGGAUUAUGAACUUGCUCUAUUAGAGCAGAAGCAUCCCUUAUACCUUACUGCAAGCCGGCAGUGUUUUCCCUGGAGAAUAAUGCUGAGGAAAUCAGGCCCCCAGAUCGCUAUAGGAAUAUGCACGUUGCUCAUCCCGGUUACCAAAUUCUGGCCCCAGGUGCCACCAGCACCAUAGCCGGAGUUUUCAUCCUUCCCUCAUGGGCAUCCGGCCCAGCGUGGUGCUUGGCAGACUGUCUGGUUAUUGCUGUGUUGUCCUCUGUGUGAGUGCGGUGCUACAAGAAAUGCUAGAAAGGUGUAGAAUUUUGUGUCUGAUGAAAGAAACACACAAAUGCAUAUGUCACUAUCCACAGAAACUGAUCUCAGCCUUCACAAAUAAUUCUUAUAAACCCAAAAGCCCAUCUGCCAGGUCCCACUUCUCCCUGGCUGUCCUGUGUUUCAGCCAGGCCCUCCUAACAUCCGAGUCUCGGUGCCCUGCUCCUGUAUUCUCAUUUAUCUAAAUGAGGUGCUAAUUGGUAUGUUUUGAGAAGGUAGAGAGUUCUAGGCAGGAGAAACCCAUGCAAGCAAGCCAACUGUGUGUGUCCUUGGGACUCAAUUUUGUUUUAUGAAAGGCGAAAUAAAGACAAGCUACACAGAGCUUUUCUGUGAGGAUCCCCAUAGGAGUUCGUCUCACCUAGUGAUGGGCAAGGUGUCCAGGAACAGCUGUCGUUCCAGCACAACGUUGUUUGCAAAACCAGAGCCAGUUACGGGCUNNNNNNNNNCAGGUUCUGCCUGAAUCCCUUCCAGGUGCCCUGUGUGAAAACACACCACCAGGAGAUUGGACAUGCCCUGUGAAUGAUCCCUUAUUUAUUAUCAUCGAGCCCUCCCUUUUUUUUUUUUUUUCCAUCCUGCCUUAAAAUUAUGGGCUGGAGCAGUUCUCAAGACUAUUUAUUUUAGGGGAGGAAAAUGUUUUCCUUUAACCACAACACUCAUGCAAUAGCAACUGCUGGCAGUUGCCCCAGCAUUUAAGGAAAUAUUGUUGUAAGGCUUUUAUGUUCCGUACUUCAAUCAGCCAGAGCCAGCAGUAUCCCCAUAGAAGGACCCUCAACAGACCAUUUUUAGCAUUUUGCUACAAUUAAACUCCUCUGGUUUUAGCCCUCAGGCAAUUUAGUACCUUUUUACAUAUGCACAUUAUGAACUUUUGACCAGGGUCUAACAGUCAUAUAUUAGAGUGCUGUUCUUGAAAGCGGGCUUAACAAGUUCCUCUGAGUAUUGCACUCAGAGCCAGUUGUGGAAAAGGUAAUUGAAGCAACUUGCAGCGAGGCCAUUCAGAAUCUCAGCGAUGAUCCUAAAUAUUUCUCUCUCUCUCUUGCUUGCUCUCCUUUUUUUUCUUCCCCUCCUGCUUGUUUCCUCUGGAAGCUGGUAGCAAGAGCUUUCAAAGUCUGUGAUUGAUCUUUUAUUCAGUAGCUAACGAGGGCUGUGAUUCUAUUAGCGUGCUACAAGGCAAGAGAGCGGUGAUUUAAUGAAGUGUCUGGCGAGCCGGCCAUAGAUUUAUCCCAUUGUCGCUAAUUUGCAGGGCCACGGUAAGCAUCAAGGAAGCCGCGCUCGCACCGCUAUUAAGCAGGUAUUUCCUUAGUAAAUUGUUGUAAGGUCAGGUACAGUUAUCCGAGCCCUGGCGAUGCCUCCCGUCUUCCGUGCCUGCAGAUGACAGCCUCCGUGCUGAGCGCUCACUGGAGUGGAACCGGGAGAUCAGAGGUCCGACUCCAAGUCGCCCUGAGCAGAGGCAGGAGCAGAUGAACUGCCAGGCAGGGGUAAUAGAGUCAUAAUUGGUGAUUAGAACUGGAAAGGUGCAAUAACAUCUUAAUACAAACUGGCGGACGUUACCGUUACUGUCAGUUGUUGUAAACGCGUCCCGCUGCCUGGACCAGAUCCGUUUCCCCUUGAUUAGCUCUGAGCAUCCCGGCAGCAGCCACACUGAGGGCCUCCAGACGGCGGCUGCGGUCCCGGGUCUUGCCCCAUCCCCGCUGUUUCUCUUGGGCACUGGCCCUUGCCCCCCUCGGAAGGCAGCAUGGCAGCCUUUGCCCACCGUCCUGGGAGAAGUGGGGUUUCCUAAGUGACCUCUGGUAUUCUCUCUUCCCAGGCGCAGUGAUGUUUAUACACACUGGUGUGGAGACUCAUUGAGCAUUUGAUAAGGGGAGGUAUUUGCCUCGUGCCAAAUCCAUACCCCACUGCAGUCUUGAAUUCAUAGGAACAGAUUUGGUCUUGCCAUGCCAGGAGCUAACGAGGAAAGAAAAGAAGUGCUCAGCACUAAGGCAUUUCUCACUG